rnacentral:lncRNA from 1 species
ACUCUGGAAAAAAGUGAAUUACCCAUUAAUUCUAAUUAAAAUUCUCACUUUCACAGACAAUAGGCCAUACAACACAGUUAAAGCUCAAUAGCUGAUUUCUUGCUUUUUUCUGUCGUUUAUGAGUAUAGAUGUCUGUAAUUUUUAAUGGAUCAGUUAAGUACACUUGAGAAAGUAAAUGAUUGUAUCAGUUCCUUUCUAGUAUAAAUUGCUACCUGUAAUAAUAUUGAACUCAUUGAAGCAAAUCAUGCAUGCAAUUAGCAACGCCCCAACUCUAGUCCCAUCUCUGUGACAUUUCAAAUGUUUAUUUGGAAAUAAUGACCUGGGUCAUUGUUUAAGGUGUUCAUGGCAUGGUUGGAUUCUCUGAUUGUUUAAAGAAAUUAUGGACUAGUAUUUGCUUAGUGUUUCAUUAAACCUAUGGUAUAAAAUGAAAUGCUACUCCCAGCAGUUUUGGUAUUGUUCGUUCUUAUUGACCUGCAUCUCAUCAUUGCAUGUUUUAUGUUUUCAAACAUGCCAUAAGGAAAGCAAGUGCUUGAAAUGCAUGAUUUAUUAGUUUCUCUCUCCACUCUGCAUUAAAGUACUAAUGAUUUAUCAGUUCUCUUUUUCUAUUGAUUCAUUCAUCUUUGAAUAACAAAUAGCAUCUAGUGAUUCUGUUGAAUGCAAUCCUGUGCAUGGAUUUAUGGAUUUCAAGUGAAAUUGCUGUAAUUUUUGUUCUUUGGUUUGAAAACUCAACUGAAUGCUGUUAUAUCAAAUAGCUACUCUCAAGCAAUGUGCUAUAAUGGAAGAUUAUGUAUAAAGCAUAUUCUUUUAGUGUCCCAGGAAAGUUGGAUGGUAAAUAUCAAUCAACAGUAAGUUUAAUUGCCUUGAAAAUAAAAGCUUUUGAAUAAAAUUAAGACAUAAUUUAGCAUUCCCAGGAAAAUUAUCAUUACAAUUGCAAACGCAGCACAGCAAUCACUUGCCCUAGUAUAAAAGAAAAAAAACUUAUUUGGCGGAGCAGUAAUCUAGACCAAAGGAAAGCUCAAAACACUAACAAAUGCAUUACUGACAUAAUGUUAUAUAACACACACAUUGAUUUUGCGUGUCUAUGGUUACAGGUAAUAAAUAUUUUCACAUAAAUUGACAAAAUUUUCUACAAUGCGCAGACAGGCUCUGUGUCAAAAACAUAUUCUGAAGCCACAAAUUAUUUUAUGUUCAGUACAACAUACAAUUAUUUCUUGGCUACCUUUUAUAGUAUAUCGUGAAGGCAGGAAGAGUUUGUGAAUCAUUCUUAGCAAUCUGUGCCCUGGAAGCUGUUGAAUAGACAGUGGGAUGAGGCAAAUCAAAGAACCUGCCUAUAAGGCUUUAAUAAUUGAAAUCGUGGGAUGCUGCUUUACUCAAUGUAGCUGUGUAACUAUAAUUAGUGAUAAUCUUAGUUACAUUUUUCAGUCAGUGCGAUUCAUUGGUACCAUAAUAAAUGUUCAAAUAAAAGUCAAAUUUCACUUUCCCCAACUCAGUUUCUAAAGAUACUGAUGUGCUUGCCCGUCAAGUACGUGACUCCUGGGAUUUGGAAAGUAGUUUUUAAAAACCUACUUUGAUGGUUUUGAAAUCAGAGAAGAUAUUCUACUCACUUUUAUGACAGCUUCAAGUGGAGAAUAUAUAUUUUAAGGAAAAUUCUAAACUGAAGGUUCUAUGGUAUAUUAAAAUAUUGAAUAAUGAAUGUUAGCUUUACAAGAUGGAAAUUUUUCUUAUACGUGUGUGGGUGAGUGUUUGAGUUGUUGACUCAAUCUCUUUUAAAUAUAGUAGACACAGCAGUGUAAAGUUUUAAGUGGAUGAAGCUCCUAUGUAAAAAUUAACUGGGUUUGCAGGGGUCAAAGGAAAAGGGGAAAAGAGAAAUGCACUUUGCUAAAUAUUGCCAUACCCUGAGUUGAUAAACAGAGAGAGAUUCCAGAAUAAACCUGGAUAUCCAUGCUUCUAAUAGGAAUGGAAGUGUCUAUGAAGAACCAGAAAUUUUAAAGGAUAUAAAUGUAUUUUUCCACUGACAUAUGCAUACCGUGUGCAUUUGCUGCAAAAAGUACUGGUCAAUUUAUUGUGGAAGAAAGGAGAUACCUCGUAGAAAGUGAAGAAAAUAAAAUGUUAAAACAGUUUUCAUUUUAAACCGGUUAUGUGAUUACAGCCAGAAUAAAGCAAAAGGCUCAGAUGUUUACAGUAGUUGACCGCAGGAAGAAAUUUAAAUCCAAUGAGAAUCAAUGAAUCGCAUAUAUUUCCAGAUUUUCUUCUUUUUUCCCUCUUUCAGGGGGAUGGAAAGCAAUUGCAAGUUUUUAGGAAAAAUCUGUUUUGAACCUCAGACUGUGUUCUACUUGAAUGAGACAAAAUUCUUACAUGGCUCCAUUACCUUCUGUGUCAGUUUGUUGUUUAUAAAAAAGAAAAUGUACUUUUCAUGGCACAUAUAACCCUCAAAGAAUUAUUCAAAUAUAAUGCUUAUAUUCCAAAUUAAAAGAUUCAGCCCUUGUAAUAUAUGUUGAGGAUGUAAAAUUUAAAUAAAUAAAUAAACAAAAACCUGCAAAAGAGCUUUUAUUUUGUGAAAAGAAGGAAUCACCCC